rnacentral:miRNA from 1 species
UUUAUACGUCGAAUUUCGGUCGCGUUGAUUGCAAUGUUGAUUGUUUAUCUUCUCAUUAUCUAUUCUCUUAUUUGCAUUUGACGCGACCAAAAUUCGACGUAUAAA